UUCACAUUCAUAUUAAAGACGGAUCUUAGUUCACAUUGUGUAAAAAAAAUCAAAGAUGAUGUUCGUGACUGUCUUGAAUGUGAGUCUUGUAUUGACAUUUUUGCAGAUAACGACUUCUUCAUGUAACAAUUCUUAUAUGAUACUGGCACCAAAAAUCGUGCGAGCUGGUUUGUCUGAGAACAUUACUGUAACAGUUCUAAAGAGAAAUGUCACUGCGACCAUUACAGCAUCUCUACUGGACUUAAAAGGGAGCAUUCUGUCAACAAAUACCGGAUUCUUCCAAAGUCGUUAGUCUUCAGUUGUCUUCAAACACUCACCACCUGAAAACAAAAUGAAACAAAAAUGUGUAGAAAUUAUUUUUAAAAAAAGAAAUAAAAUAUUUCAAUAACACCAAGAA